AGUGAACGCUGGCGGUAGGCCUAACACAUGCGAGUCGAACGGCAGCACAGUAAGAGCUUGCUCUUACGGGUGGCGAGUGGCGGACGGGUGAGGAAUACAUCGGAAUCUACUUUUUCGUGGGGGAUAACGUAGGGAAACUUACGCUAAUACCGCAUACGACCUACGGGUGAAAGCAGGGGAUCUUCGGACCUUGCGCGAUUGAAUGAGCCGAUGUCGGAUUAGCUAGUUGGCGGGGUAAAGGCCCACCAAGGCGACGAUCCGUAGCUGGUCUGAGAGGAUGAUCAGCCACACUGGAACUGAGACACGGUCCAGACUCCUACGGGAGGCAGCAGUGGGGAAUAUUGGACAAUGGGCGCAAGCCUGAUCCAGCCAUACCGCGUGGGUGAAGAAGGCGUUCGGGUUGUAAAGCCCUUUUGUUGGGAAAGAAAAGCAGCAGGUUAAUACCCCGCUGUUCUGACGGUACCCAAAGAAUAAGCACCGGCUAACUUCGUG
rnacentral:rRNA from 1 species